AAUCUACUCCCUCCGAUCCUAAAUUGUUGUCGAAAUAUUACAUGUAUCUAGACGCUUUUUAAGAAUAGAUACAUCCAUAUUUGAGCAAAUUUGAGUCAAGAAUUUAGGAUCAGAGGGAGUACAAC
rnacentral:pre_miRNA from 1 species